rnacentral:rRNA from 1 species
UUCGCAAUGCCCGAAAGGGUGACGAAGCGACGCCGCGUGUGGGAAGAAGGCCUUCGGGUUGUAAACCACUGUCAGGAGUUAAGAAGUGCAAGAGUGUGAAUAGCACUUUUGCUUGACUAAGGCUCCAGAGGAAGCCACGGCUAACUCUGUGCCAGCAGCCGCGGUAAUACAGAGGCGGCAAGCGUUGUUCGGAAUUAUUGGGCGUAAAGAGCACGUAGGCGGCUCUAUAAGUCAGCUGUGAAAGCCUUCUGCUUAACGGAAGAACAGCAGUUGAAACUGUAGAGCUUGAGUGCGGGAGGGGAGAGUGGAACUUCUGGUGGAGCGGUGAAAUGCGUAGAUAUCAGAAGGAACGCCGGCGGCGAAAGCGGCUCUCUGGCCCGUAACUGACGCUGAGUGUGCGAAAGCUAGGGGAGCAAACGGGAUUAGAUACCCCGGUAGUCCUAGCCGUAAACGAUGGGCACUAAGUAGAGGGGUUUU